rnacentral:rRNA from 1 species
UACAGGGGGGGCAAGCGUUGUUCGGAUUUACUGGGCGUAAAGGGAGCGUAGGUGGUUAGGUAAGCCCUCCGGGAAAUCUUCAGGCUUAACCUGAAAAGGUCGGGGGGGACUGCCUGGCUAGAGGACGGGAGAGGAGCGCGGAAUUCCCGGUGUAGCGGUGAAAUGCGUAGAGAUCGGGAGGAAGGCCGGUGGCGAAGGCGGCGCUCUGGAACGUUUCUGACGCUGAGGCUCGAAAGCGUGGGGAGCAAACAGG